rnacentral:rRNA from 1 species
UAGGGAAUAUUGGGCAAUGGGCGCCAGCCUGACCCAGCCAUGCCGCGUGCAGGAAGACGGCGCUCAGCGUUGUAAACUGCUUUUAUCAGCGAAGAACGGCCGGUGUGCGCACCGGUGUGACGGUAGCUGAGGAAUAAGCACCGGCUAACUCCGUGCCAGCAGCCGCGGUAAUACGGAGGGUGCGAGCGUUGUCCGGAUUUAUUGGGUUUAAAGGGUGCGCAGGCGGGCUGGCAAGUCUGGUUUGAAAGCCGGUGGCUCAACCAUCGGAUGUGGCUGGAAACUGCGGGUCUUGAAUGCGGUAGCGGAAGCCGGAAUGGGUCAUGUAGCGGUGAAAUGCAUAGAUAUGACCCGGAACCCCGAUUGCGAAGGCAGGCUUCUGGGCCGUGAUUGACGCUGAGGC